rnacentral:rRNA from 1 species
CAGCAGCCGCGGGAAUACGGAGGGUGCAAGCGUUAUUCGGAAUUACUGGGCGUAAAGCGCACGCAGGCGGUUGCCCAAGUCAGAUGUGAAAGCCCCGGGCUUAACCUGGGAACUGCAUUUGAAACUGGGCGACUAGAGUAUGAAAGAGGAAAGCGGAAUUUCCAGUGUAGCAGUGAAAUGCGUAGAUAUUGGAAAGAACACCGGUGGCGAAGGCAGCUUUCUGGGUCGAUACUGACGCUCAUGUGCGAAAGCGUGGGGAGCAAACAGGAUUAGAUACCCCGGUAGUCCCUGUCUCUUAUAA